GCAGUGAUGAUGAAUUAUAGCUUUUAAUGCCAGGUCUGCUUCAGAAAAUUCUUGAUUGAUAGAGCUGUUAAUUGCUCUGAGC
rfam:Vitis vinifera, whole genome shotgun sequence of line PN40024, unoriented chromosome 12, chr12